ACAUUCCUAUAAAUCAGCCUUCUGACCCCCUCUGCAAACCAUUUAUGGACAUUAUGGAUGUAUUAGGAUUCCUGCAGUGCAUUCAGGGUUCGACACACAU